AGAAGGGCUCUCAUACAGCACGCCAAUGAGGAAAAAUUAUGCCAAAAAUUGUUUCGUUAGGGUAUUAAAACUUCGACUUGGUCAACAAAAAACGAAUUCCAGUAUGCAAAACAUGCAAUUCGUUCGAAGAUUACAGACGGAAACGCAACAACUUCCAACUUCGUUCGACAUUUGAAGAUGCACUAAGAAGGUCGCUACUCUGGCCGCACAGCAGACAGCUUCACCCACUCCAGACACGACGCGCCCCUGAACCCCCUCAAAUCAAAGCAGCGAGAGUCAGCGGACGCCCCCAGCAGACACCAGGCCAAACAAGUCAAGAGAAUCGCUAACAGGGGAAGCAACAAGGGCAAACAAUGACACCACAUCAAACCUUCACAAAGGACAAUACUGAAGGAGUCCGGUCCGAUGGCCAUGGAUGAAGUACUGGCUGUCCAGAGUCGGGACCCAGGAUGGACCGCUCGCCUGUGUAUCGGCUGGGGACAUCUCUGCGCUGCUUGCAGUUUUGCGCACAGUUAAUAUAACAUAUUAAAUGUGAUGGUAAUUAAUGUAACUGUUUCUUUUUCAUUUAAUCUUAUUUCAUUUUAAUUUUCCUAAGGGAACUCUCCUGAAGGAAUCAAUAAAGUACCAUCUAUCUAUCUAUCUAUCUAUCUAUCUAUCUAUCUAUCUAUCUAUCUAUCUAGCUAUCUAUCUAUCUAUCUAUCCGUCUAUCUGUCUGUCCGUCUGUCUGUCCGUCUGUCUGUCUGUCUGUCUGUCUGUCUGUCUGUCUGUCUGUCUGUCUGUCUAUCUAUCUAUCUAUCUAUCUAUCUAUCUAUCUAUCUAUCUAUCUAUCUAUCUAUCUAUCUAUCUAUCUAUCUUUAAAUGUUGCAAGUGAUAAAUACUUAUUUAGGGAAAUUAAAAAAUAUAUAAAACUGCAUCACUUUAUAUAAAGAUGCAUCAAUAAUAGAUUUUUUAUCGAAUCGUAGCUCCUGAAUCGUAAUUGUAAUCAAAUCGUGAGGUGCCCAGAGAUUCCCACCUCUAAAACUGAGCAUCUCUAAUUCAAAACAGCCUGUUUUUCAUUGGAACUUUUGUAUCAAAUCCCAUAUAUUUUUGAAUGACACCCAGUCAGAAGUGAACAUUAAAACACAGAGUUUUUCAGAUGAAAUUUUGCACUGGAUCACACUGUAUUAAUAAUAAUCAUCAUCAUUGGUGCCAUAUCAAAACUGAGCAUCUAAAGCAGCAAUAGGCAACUUAACAACCUUCAUAAAAUAGUUUCAUAUUUUUGGGGAUGAUACAUGUACUUACAACUAGUUGAAUGACACCUCUGUCAUGGCCUAAGGGGGUCUGUAUCACUUUCACUGACACUGAGCAACUUUGAGGGGGGUGGUAGGAACCCUGCCACACAAAAGAACUACAAAUAUGGAGAUUGCUUUAUGACAUAUGUCACUUCCUCCUUUUCCCAUUCGUGACAAAGACGGAAGUCGAUGCGAACACCUGCGUGCAAUUACUGCUGUCAUGGCUGAAGCCAGGGGCGUCACUAGGCCUAUUUUAGGGGGGCUGAAGCCCCCCUAAAAUAUUCUUAUGCCCCCCUAAAUAAUUUGGCUUUAUAUUUUAUUUUAUUUAUAUGUCUUUUCUUUUUUUUACAAAUACAUGCCGAAAUAUUAAUUUUAAAGUGGCCCGAAUAAGAGAUUAAAAUAAAUAAUCCUAUAACCUGUCAUUAUUCACUCAGUUCCCCCGCACUUCAUAGCGUAAGGAGUGCUACUGCCUACUGGCGCUGACGAGUCGAAACGCGCAGCCGCCAUUUUGGAUUGGUGAUCCACUCUACUCAGUGCAAUUCUUUUGGCAGUAGUAAUGGACUUUCAGCGCAUUUGAUCUCACUGAAUACCACUGAUUUUCACGCGCUUUUUUGUCAACGUGUAACUAUGAUAAAGGACACAUGUUUGGUGUGUUCAUAGUUUGAUUAACUGUAAUAGAAUAUUCUUAUAUACUAUAAGUGGCCAGACAUCCAAGAUCAAAACUGGGAAUAAUAAUCCCAGAGAAGGGGGAAAAAUGGUCAGCUAUUUUUAAGUGGAAGAAACAAUAUGAUUAGGUUAUAUAUACAUGUGUAUAUCCUACGUAAACAAUGUAUGAAUAUAUUAGAUAUCUAUAUAUCUUACAGACCAAUAGACUGCAGCAACAGAGAGUUUAUUCUGUCUUGACACUUUGUAUUGAUAUUUUCUAUUACAUUCUUCCCGUAAACGAUCAUGUGUACGGUGAUUUUUUUAUAUGUAUUUUUCAUGUAUGCUGUUUUGGAUAAAAGUGUCUGCCAAAUACUUAAACAUAUAUAAAGACCUGAAAGUCUUUAUAAUCUGCUAAAACCACCAAUCUGUUUCACUGGAUUCAGAAUAAAACCAAAGUCUGUCUUACCCAGGAAAGUUAGUAUUUGAAUAUUGUUACUUGAAGACUUAUUCCUGGUUACAAUUAUACUGUUAAGAGAGUAUUGUCUUAUGUUUUGCCUAAAAUGAGAAUGCAUCAUGAUCAGUGGUGAAUUUUGUUUUAGGUGGGGCUGAAAGUUUGUAAACCAAAUACCUGUAGGGGCGUCAUCCUCCCCCAGAAGAUUUCUUUGUGAUUUUCCCAUACAAAUAUUGAAGAUAUUUGCUCCUUCUCAACUCUGUGGUCAAGCUGCACAAAACCUUGUGUCUGCAGUUGUAAAUAAUUUAGUUUUUAAGUUUUGUGUUUCUUGUAGAAUCUAUAUAAAGUAGUAUACGUUAGCCUAUUGUUAAAAUAAUGAAGAAAACAUCAUUAGAAAUAUAUUUGUUUUAUUGCAUUGAUUUGUUACAUUAAUAGCUGUUGUAUUAUUAUAGGAUGGCUUGUUAAACAUUUCAUAGGAUUUUCAGAGGGAGGAAAAUCCGAGACAUUUAAUAUAAAAUGUAAAAUGAAUAAAUACAUAAAGAGAAAAAGAAAAAAAUGGUUAAAAGCCAUCGACCCGUGCAUUUUUUUUUUACCGUCCCCGGGACGACGGUACAUCAUUAAUGUCAAGCCCUGGAAGUUACAUUUUAUUGUUUGCAUUAUUUGUUUCAGAUUGCACUUUGAAGAUGGUUCCUCAGCUCAUUGAUAGCUUUGGCUCUUUUUCAGAUCAGCAGACGGACUCUAAGUAUUUCUUACAGUAUACAUAAACGCUUCUCACUUCUAUUCAGACUUCCAUGUAUAUUUAAUUUCCUUAACCGACUGAAAUUAUAAUAAUAACAAAGAAUAAUUUCUAGGCUACCUGGAUAAAAGGUCAGUCAAGGCCCGGCUUUACUUGCUGGCUUCAGCUCAAAGAUGAGGAGGGAUUUCAGACCGAUGUUGCCUUGGCUCUAUUCCUGCUAAACUAGUAAGUGACUUUCGAUGCUCAAAUCAAAAUGCUAAUGCUAAUGUUAGCUGUCGGAAACUAAAAUAAAUAACCACCAGCCCGUUAGUUCGCAGUUCUACAUUGACACGACCAGCCACGCAACAAACUCAAAAGUACUUUAUAAAGAAAAGAAGUUUGAUGACUGCAAAUGGCAAAUAUUAAGUUUGAGUAAUACAUGAAGUAGGUUCCUACUGUGGAAAGAUCAUCAUACUGGAUCAUUGUGGUAUUACUGUGUCAGUUUAUAUGUACGUGACAUUAGUUUUCUGACCAUUUACGACGCCAUGCUCUGGUCCUCUUGGGAAAUGUGGUCGUCAUUCAGGCAAAACGCUACUUUGGUCCACUGGCGCCGCAAAAAUCUACCAAAACUGAGAGUUGUUAAGUGGGGCUUUAAAAUUGCCAGUUUUUUAAUGAAUGUCUGAAGUUAGAUUUCAUCUUAAUAAUCAUGAUACUGUCUAAUGAAACCCUUGCAGACAGUCUCCAUCAAAGCUGAGCAUCUUUUCCAUUAAAAUGGUUAUUAUUUUAUCAAUCAAUCAAUGUUUAUUCAUAUAGCCCUAAAUCACAAGUGUCUCAAAGGGCUGCACAAGCCGCAACAACAUCCGCAGUACAGAGCCCACAUAAGGGCAAGGAAAAACUAACCCCACUGGAAUGUUGAUGACAAUGACUAUGAGAAACCUUGGAUGUUGAGCGAGUCUAACAUGAUAUUAUGAAAGUCCAGUCCAUAGUGGAUCUAACAUAACAGUGAAAGUUCAGUCCAUAGUGGAUCUAAUAUAAUAGCGAGAGUCCUGUCCAUAGUGGAGCCAGCAGGAGACCAUCCCAAGCGAAAACAGGUCAG